rnacentral:tRNA from 1 species
GGAGGGUUGUCAGAGCGGCCGAAUGAGACGGUCUUGAAAACCGUUAUGUGGGUAACUGCAUCGGGGGUUCGAAUCCCCCACCCUCCG